rnacentral:rRNA from 1 species
GACGUAGGGUGCAAGCGUUGUCCGGAUUUACUGGGCGUAAAGAGCGCGUAGGCGGCUCGUUAAGUGAGAAGUGAAAGCUGUGGGCUCAACCCACAAACCGCUUUUCAUACUGGCGAGCUGGAGUGAUGCAGAGGUGGAUAGAAUUCCUGGUGUAGCGGUGAAAUGCGUUGAUAUCAGGAGGAAUACCCGUGGCGAAGGCGGUCCACUGGGCAUCAACUGACGCUGAGGCGCGAAAGCGUGGGUAGCGAACAGG